rnacentral:rRNA from 1 species
AAGAAACCAACAGGGAUUGCCUUAGUAGCGGCGAGUGAAGCGGCAAUAGCUCAAAUUUGAAAUCUGGCACCUUCGGUGUCCGAGUUGUAAUUUGAAGAAGGUAUCUUUGGUUUUGGCUCUUGUCUAUGUUUCUUGGAACAGGACGUCACAGAGGGUGAGAAUCCCGUGCGAUAAGAUGCCCAAUUCCAUGUAAAGUUCCUUCGACGAGUCGAGUUGUUUGGGAAUGCAGCUCUAAGUGGGUGGUAAAUUCCAUCUAAAGCUAAAUAUUGGCGAGAGACCGAUAGCGAACAAGUACUGUGAAGGAAAGAUGAAAAGAACUUUGAAAAGAGAGUGAAAAAGUACGUGAAAUUGUUGAAAGGGAAGGGCUUGAGGUCAGACUUGGUUUUACCAGGCCAGCAUCAGUUUGGAUGGCAGGAUAAUAGCUAAGAAAUGUGGCACUGCUUCGGUAGUGUGUUAUAUUCUUUGUUGAUACUGCCUGUCUAGACUGAGGACUGCGUCUUUGACUAGGAUGCUGGCAUAAUGACCUUAAGCCGCCCGU